rnacentral:rRNA from 1 species
AAACGACUCUCGGCAACGGAUAUCUCGGCUCUCGCAUCGAUGAAGAACGYAGCGAAAUGCGAUACUUGGUGUGAAUUGCAGAAUCCCGUGAACCAUCGAGUCUUUGAACGCAAGUUGCGCCCGAAGCCUUCGGGCUGAGGGCACGUCUGCCUGGGCGUCACG